rnacentral:tRNA from 1 species
AGUAGAAUAAGCUAAACAAGCUUUUGGGCCCAUACCCCAAAUAUGUUGGUUAAACCCCUCCUUCUACUA